CCUACGGGUGGCAGCAGUGGGGAAUUUUGGACAAUGGGCGCAAGCCUGAUCCAGCCAUGCCGCGUGCAGGAUGAAGGCCUUCGGGUUGUAAACUGCUUUUGUACGGAACGAAAAGACUCUUUCUAAUAAAGAGGGUCCAUGACGGUACCGUAAGAAUAAGCACCGGCUAACUACGUGCCAGCAGCCGCGGUAAUACGUAGGGUGCAAGCGUUAAUCGGAAUUACUGGGCGUAAAGCGUGCGCAGGCGGUUAUGUAAGACAGAUGUGAAAUCCCCG
rnacentral:rRNA from 1 species